rnacentral:rRNA from 1 species
GACGAACGCUGGCGGCGUGCUUAACACAUGCAAGUCGAACGGAAAGGCCCUGCUUUUGUGGGGUGCUCGAGUGGCGAACGGGUGAGUAACACGUGAGUAACCUGCCCUUGACUUUGGGAUAACUUCAGGAAACUGGGGCUAAUACCGGAUAGGAGCUCCUGCUGCAUGGUGGGGGUUGGAAAGUUUCGGCGGUUGGGGAUGGACUCGCGGCUUAUCAGCUUGUUGGUGGGGUAGUGGCUUACCAAGGCUUUGACGGGUAGCCGGCCUGAGAGGGUGAACGGCCACAUGGGGACUGAGGUACGGCCCAGAGUCCUACGGGAGGCAGCAGUGGGGAAUAUUGCACAAUGGGCGGAAGCCUGAUGCAGAAACGCCGCGUGCGGGAUGACGGCCUUCGGGUUGUAAACCGCUUUCGCCUGUGACGAAGCGUGAGUGACGGUAAUGGGUAAAGAAGCACCGGCUAACUACGUG